rnacentral:piRNA from 1 species
CUUUGAUGGCUAACGUGGGCAAGG